rnacentral:lncRNA from 1 species
GAAAACAUUAUAUAAGCUACUCAUAUCAUAUGUAGAAAAGAAAAUAAUAUUAUACAGCUGAAUUGAAAAAAAAAUUCAAACCUCUAUACAUAAUCUGGAGGUUUGGACCUCAUCGUGAUCAAGGCUAUAGCCUUUUGAAAGUGAGAACCUAUCAUCUCAGGUGAAACAUUUUAAGUCAUGUAGAUUUGUCCUACAGAACUUUAUAAUCUUGGUCGCUUAUGUAUGUUCCUGUCGAAGCCUCUGCUUUUCAUCUGCUACGAGUAUAUACACCUGCAAUGAGAGAGAGAGAGAGAGAGAGAGAGAGAGAGAGAGAAAUAAUAUAUGUUGACAGCUUUUCUUCUUAUUAGUCAUUGACUCCUUGCUGAGAGAAUUAUCUCAGAUGAAAAUGGAAGUAUAUUAAGCUCCAUUAUACUUAGAGAGUUAAGGUUGUAAAUAGAGCUCUAUGUGUGCAAAACAUUACACUGGUACAGGAUUUUGUUCGAGGAUUUCCUUUCCUGUAAUUCCAUCUUUCAAAGUUCUAAAGUAAACAUUGUAGUCCUUCUCGGGGGAUGGAUUUUGAGGGUCCACUGUAAAUGGCUCACUAAAUGGCACAACACUUUUAACCUGCAAAUGAGUUUAUAAGCAUCUCAGAAUCUGCAAAAGCUUUUAACUUCCAAAAAUAGCAAAUUGCAGCCACAGCACACAGCACACAAUUAAGGGACAUAAGUCGGGCUGUGACCUUAAAUGUCUUGCCAGAUGCAUGGGGCUUUCCAACGCAGCAACACAAAUCUGAGCAACCUCCUCUCUUGAUAUCUUACCCUGCAUAUAUAUAAAUCCUAUCAAUCAUAACAUUCAGAUAUGAUUACUAUUAUAAAGGAAAGAAAGAGCAAUACAUGCGAUCACAAUAAAGAGAGAAUAGUGAUCUUCCAUUUGAUUAUAUACCGUUACAUUGUCUCCUUGGUCAAAAAUGAGAUCUGCUCCAGCAGGCUCCUCAGCAAAGAUAGAUGAAGUUUGAAAAAUCGCUAUGAGGUAGGCUAAAAGAACAAAAGAAAAGAACCAGACCCUAAACCCUAAAGAACCAGACCCACCCUGGCACCCAGACCCGCCUAGGGCCGCCUAGACCCGCCUAGACCCGCCUAGCGCCGCUCAAACCCUCCCAGCGCCGCCUAGACCAGCCCUGCAGUGCAUUAUGCAUAAGUUUGAAAAAUCGCUAGGCAGUAGGUUUAAAGAACAAAAGAAAAGAACCAGACCCGCCUAGACCCGCCUAGACCCGCCUAGCGCCGCCCUGACCUGCCCAUGCCGCCUAGGCCGAUUUUUCGUAAAGCAGAGUAUGGAUUGGAAGGAAUGGUUUCAACAAGAGGGGAUGUGUACAGUUUUGGAAUCGUAGUGAUGGAAACAUUGACAAGAAGGAAGCCACCAGAUGAGAUGUUUGUUGGGGAAAUGAAUUUAAAGCAAUGGAUUGCAAACUCACUAUUACCAGAUGCAAUGAUAGAUGAAGUUGUGGAUGCCAAUUUUCUUACUUGGUGUGGUUGCUGCUGCAAGCCUGCAACUACGGCCUCUUGGGUGCUUUGCCGCUGCUUUGUUAAGAAUAUUUGUUUUUCUAUUUAUUAUGUUUAUUGAUUAUCUUGUUCAGUUGUGGAAGUCCUAUUGUUUAGGAACUUGGUUGUUUAGUUGCUAGUUAAUAGGAGAGUCUAAGUUGUCAGGGAGUCAUGGUUAGUGGCUGAAUGUGAUGGUUUAGUCGUGCAUUAGUUGUUCCUAUUAUUUAGGAGAGUCCAAGUUGCUUUGUUAUUUUGCUAUUUAAGUUGUAUUCAGUGUUCAAGUUAAUGGUGAAGAGAAGUUUGAAUUCCACAAAUACGUUCUUGGUUCUUCAUCUGUUUCCUUAUUUUCAACAUGCUUACCCCAGGACUCUUUUACUUGGUAUGGUAUCAGAGGAGGCAAGAAACGACUGAUUACAACACCCAGGCCUCCCUUCCUAUCUGUUGGUCUCUCGGUGUGUGUAAAACAAGCUUGGUUUUUGAGACUUUUGUCUUGAUCGUUGCUUUAGUUAUGGAUAGAACAAACAAUUAAUGGUUUUCAGUUUCACAAAUAUUGGAUUGGAUUGGAUCCCUGUAUUUAAAGCAUGUUUAAGGAAGAAAUGAAAAUAUUUUUUUAUCAUUGAAGGUAGAAGAUGGAUUACUCAUGAAGAAAACUUAUCCUGUCUAAUCCCAACAAACAUGGAAAGUCAUUCACCCCUACCUUCAUCUUCUCUUUCAAUAUACCUUAGAUUUAGUGACUUAUCAAGUUUUCUUCUUUCAUAAUCAAAAUUAGUAAUUGACUCUUUCUACUCUUUAACUAACUGCUUUAGGGUUCUUUACCUGUGCAUUAAGUUCUGGUAUCUUGGGACAGGUUUUAUUUAGUCUCCUUUAGAAUUCUGAUAGCUUGUUUUGUCAAGCUGAAAGAGUGCUGGUUAGAUCCAACAACGAAUUUGAUUGAGACUAUAAACUUUUUGAAAAAUCAGUGGAAAGACCAUGGUAAAUUCUGUGAUCUGCUUGCUGAAGACUACUUCAAUUUAGCAUUCAAGUUUUAUGAAGACGUUAAUGUGACAAAGAUGCUUGAGGGUGCUGGAAUUUCGGUUGGGAUGGAUUUUGAUCCUAACUUAAUCAUUCAAAGUGAUAAGGAAAAAGACUAACAGCUUCGCAUAUAUAAAGUGUUAUAAUGGAAUGUUUUGUUUGGGAAGUCCGAUUCUGCUUCGAAAAAGAUGGAAUGUUCCGGGACUGUAACAUGAGGCCUCAGGAUAUGUUUCAAAAAAGGACAAUAAAUACACAUGACAAAAUUUCUCUUCCAAUGCCCACCUACAAUAAAGGCAGAGGUAAAUACCAAAUUGUGCUUUCCGAGUUCUAUGUUGUAAUCACACAUUUAUAAAUUGCCUAUGUGAUUGUUGUAGAAAUGUGAUGGCGGAGACUGCUACUAUAGGUGAUUAGCCCAAGCAAUGAGCACAAAAGGCUGCUGGUGGUGGUGAGCAAGUUAAAGUUCUACAAAUAUUUUUCUAUUUUUUCAUUUUUUUUUUUUAAUGUUUGUGUUAUGUUGAUGUUUCCAGGUCUGAACUUGAGUCACACGACAAGGCCAAGCAUAGUGUUGAGGGUGAUACCUUCAUUUUGUGAAGGUUUUGGUGGUGAUCGGUUGUGGUUUUAUAUGUUUAAACCUCAGUUUUUCUAUUUCUUUAACUUUGAUUAAUAAUUUACUUUAAGAACACUAAUUUUAACUGUUUCUUUAUUGUCAGCAACUUUGAUUUACCACUUUUCAUUCCAAAAUGAAUCUCGCGCACUAAUUGGGUCAAAUUACUCUUGGUUUACAUUGAACUUGUAUACUUAAUGCCGGAAUACUUGCUCUACUGGUCGCGAGCCUUGAUUGCUAUGGCUAAUGUCUUAAUGAAAAAUUGACCUACAAGAACCCUCAUAGCUAGUCAUAGUCCAAUUUCCUGUAAGCUUCUACAAUCUGCCCGUAGCGUACAGAAAGUGCUUGCUCUAUGAACCCUUCUUAGUUUUAUAAGCCGCAGCAUUGGAAUUUCCUUCUUGAUUUGAUAUAAAACUGUGACAUUGAUCUCCAUCUUCACUUUUAUGCCGAGGCUGCAAACUGUGUGGGCUGUGCUACCAUUGAAAUGGUUACAAGCCAUGAUUCUGCCACCGUCUUUAACUUACAAUUCAAGGCCAAACACAUGUACAAUAAUUUAUGUAUGCAUAUUUUUAAAAUCAUUAGAAAACAUUAUAUAAGCUACUCAUAUGUAGAAGGAAAAUAAUAUUAUACAGCUGAAUUGAAAAAAAAUUUCAAACCUCUAUACAUAAUCAGGAGGUUUGGACCUCAUCGUGAUCAAGGCUAUAGCCUUUUGAAAGUGAGAACCUAUCAUCUCAGGUGAAACAUUUUAAGUCGUGGAUUUGUCCUACAGAAGUUUAUAAUCUUGGUCGCUUAUGUAUGUUCCUGUAGAAGCCUCUGCUUUUCAUCUGCUAUGAGUAUAUACACCUGCAAUGAGAGAGAGAGAGAGAGAGAGAGAGAGAGAGAAAGAAAUAAUAUAUGUUGACAGAUUUUCUUCUUAUUAGUCAUUGACUCAUUGCUGAGAGAAUUAUCUCAGAUGAAAAUGGAAGUAUAUUAAGCUCCAUUAUACUUACAAAGUUAAGGUUGAAAAUAGAGCUCUAUGUGUGCAAAACAUUACACUGGUACAGGAUCUUGUUCGAGGAUUUCCUUUCCUGUAAUUCCAUCUUUCAAAGUUUUAAAGUAAACAUUGUAGUCCUUCUCGGGGGGUGGAUUUUGAGGGUCCACUGUAAAUGGCUCACUAAAUGGCACAACACUUUUAACCUGCAAAUGAGUUUAUAAACAUCUCAGAAUCUGCAAAAGCUUUUAACUUCCAAAAAUAGCAAAUUACAGCCACAGCACACAGCACACAAUUAAGGGACAUAAGUCAGGCUGUGACCUCAAAUGUCUUGCCAGAUGCAUAGUGGCUUUCCAACGCAGCAACACAAAUCUGAGCAACCUCCUCUCUUGAUAUCUUACCCUGCAAAUAUAUAAAUACUAUAAAUCAUAACAUUCAGAUAUUAUUACUAUUAUAAGGGAAAGAAAGAUUAAUACAUGCGAUCACAGGCAUACAACAAAGAGAGAAUAGUGAUCUUCUAUUUGAUUAUAUACCGUUAUAUUGUCUCCUUGGUCAAAAAUGAGAUCUGCUCCGGCAGGCUCCUCAGUUAAUGCACAAGGCCUCACAAUUGUAUAUGGUAUUCCACUUUCCCGUAUUAAAUCCUCCCCCUGCUCCAAAACUUAUCAAUGUACAAAAUCGAAAAAGCUAAAUCUGACCCAGAAAAAGAAAAAGAACAGAAAAGAGCUAAGAAGUGGUAUUUUGAUACACUGAUUAUAUAUAAAAAUAUCAGACAGCUUGCACUGAAUUAGUAUGAAACCUUCAACUUGAAUGUCAGGAUAAAAUCCAAUUCCUUGUUUAAGCGAACAGCAGGAGGUUGUUUACUUAGAUCAAGUCCAGGCCUGUCAGGUCGGGUAACUCCUGCAGAACCGACGUGUACGAACCUACACGGAACACAAGCAAAGCGAUUCUUUAAACACUAAAACAGAAAGUGCACCUAGCAGAUCAAAUAUGUUUAGUCAUAAGAAGAUAAUCCAACAAAAUGAAAAGAAUGUGAAACCUGGGAGUAAUAGGCUCUUUUAGAUAUGCUCGUAUGCUUGAUAAUGGGAGCUUAAAUGCCCCUUCCACAAAAGUAGGAUUCAGUUUCCCAUCAUAUUCAAACUUGCUAAACAUGAGCUGCCAUAAUUUUGAAUCCCAUCAAUAAACAUAGAAGAAAAUGAAGUGAAAGAAUAGACUAAAAGAAAGUGGCUGCAAAAAUGUGCCUGCAAUGAUACAAUAUUGCUGGGGUCAAAAGGUGGUGCAUCCGAUACGGUUCUUGCUCGAAAUAUCGGCUUCAAAGAAGAAAAUGGCACACGUACCUGGAAAAAAAUGUGACAGAUUACUAAUGGAGUUUGAGAUAUGUAACUACAAUUUUAAUCUCGAUCAAGGAGCUAGUGUGUUACUUACUGUCUGCCACUGGUCCCCAACAGUGUCAAAGCCUGAUGUGUAACCAACAGUAUCCCAAUCACGACUUGUGCGAACAAUUAGUUUAUAGCGACGACCAUCACCUUUAAGGCGCAGCUCCAAACCAUCAUAUGCAGAGAGAUCCUCAGCUGUUGAUAGAUUCUAGAUACACGCAUAUUCAUCACUAGACGAUAAGCAACUGACCAACUUCAGGGAACAGUAAAAAAUUCUAUGCACAAGAUAUUUACAAGUCACAAGAAAACGUUGCUCUUUACCUUUGUUCUGAUACUGGUAAAACCACCAUUGUUUGCAGUGGAAACAACCCCUGAAGGAGAAGAGACAUACCAAAUGAAUAAAUUUCAACUAAACCCAUCCAAAUAUGAAUAGUUCUAAUAGAAUCACCAGUGAGAACGCAAUACAAAGACACCAGUUCUAAAGUUUGAAAAGAUCAUACCUUUAAAAAUUCCAGUUGGUCCACCAUUUUCACCACCGUUUGGAUCAAUCUGAAAUGUACUUUCACUCACUCCACCCAUCACAACAUCAUCUAAAGCACCCCAAGCCAAUUCCCUAUAAUUAUUAUCUGCAAAUUACAAACAAAGAAAAGAAUCUCAAAUGGUAUAUAAUAUAUAUGUUCCCCUAAUAGAAUAUGAGCAUUGAUGAUUUCAGUUAGGUUCCAUGUAUGAAAAGUUCGAGCGUCUUCCCUAGCAUGUUAAGUAUAAAGGACUGCAGAAUAACAUGUUUUUUAUGAAGGUUCUUCACAUUUGCUUUCAUACUAUAUUUCAUAUUAACCUAAAUUCUCCACCGUUUUUUACCUUUUCCAAAAGGGUUUUUUUAUUUAUUUCCCAAUUAUUUGUACAAGAACAACUGGACCAAGUAUAACACAGCAGAAAGGAUGGAAAUC